UACGAAGGGUGCUAGCGUUGUUCGGAAUCACUGGGCGUAAAGCGCGCGUAGGCGGCUUGACAAGUCAGGGGUGAAAGCCUGGAGCUUAACUCCAGAACUGCCUUUGAAACUGUCAAGCUGGAGUGUUGGAGGGGAUAGCGGAAUUGCUAAUGUAGAGGUGAAAUUCGUAGAUAUUAGCAGGAACACCGGUGGCGAAGGCGGCGACCUGGGACAAUACUGACGCUGAGGUGCGAAAGCGUGGGGAGCAAACAGG
rnacentral:rRNA from 1 species